rnacentral:rRNA from 1 species
CUUGCUUCUCUUGAGAGCGGCGGACGGGUGAGUAAUGCCUAGGAAUCUGCCUGGUAGUGGGGGAUAACGUUCGGAAACGGACGCUAAUACCGCAUACGUCCUACGGGAGAAAGCAGGGGACCUUCGGGCCUUGCGCUAUCAGAUGAGCCUAGGUCGGAUUAGCUAGUUGGUGGGGUAAUGGCUCACCGAGGCGACGAUCCGUAACUGGUCUGAGAGGAUGAUCAGUCACACUGGAACUGAGACACGGUCCAGACUCCUACGGGAGGCAGCAGUGGGGAAUAUUGGACAAUGGGCGAAAGCCUGAUCCAGCCAUGCCGCGUGUGUGAAGAAGGUCUUCGGAUUGUAAAGCACUUUAAGUUGGGAGGAAGGGUUGUAGAUUAAUACUCUGCAAUUUUGACGUUACCGACAGAAUAAGCACCGGCUAACUCUGUGCCAGCAGCCGCGGUAAUACAGAGGGUGCAAGCGUUAAUCGGAAUUACUGGGCGUAAAGCGCGCGUAGGUGGUUUGUUAAGUUGGAUGUGAAAUCCCCGGGCUCAACCUGGGAACUGCAUUCAAAACUGACUGACUAGAGUAUGGUAGAGGGUGGUGGAAUUUCCUGUGUAGCGGUGAAAUGCGUAGAUAUAGGAAGGAACACCAGUGGCGAAGGCGACCACCUGGACUAAUACUGACACUGAGGUGCGAAAGCGUGGGGAGCAAAC